AACAAACGCUGGCGGCGUGCCUAACACAUGCAAGUCGUACGAUAAAGUUGGCUUCGGCCGAUGAGUAAAGUGGCGCACGGGUGAGUAACGCGUGGAUAAUCUGCCCCUCAGUUGGGAAUAACUCAUCGAAAGGUGAGCUAAUACCGAAUAAUACUGUGAGACCCCGGCCGAUCAGUCAAAGGGAGCCUCUGCUUGCAAGCUUUCGCUGAAGGAUGAGUCCGCGUACCAUUAGCUAGUUGGUAGGGUAAUGGCCUACCAAGGCGACGAUGGUUAGCUGGUCUGAGAGGAUGAUCAGCCACACUGGAACUGAGACACGGUCCAGACUCCUACGGGAGGCAGCAGUGAGGGAUCUUGCGCAAUGGGGGAAACCCUGACGCAGCAACGCCGCGUGAGUGAGGAAGGCCUUCGGGUCGUAAAGCUCUGUCAGAUGGAAAGAAAUGCAUGGGGGUUAACAGCCCUCAUGCUUGACGGUACCAUCAGAGGAAGCACCGGCUAACUCCGUGCCAGCCGCCGCCGUAACAC
rnacentral:rRNA from 1 species